GACGAACGCUGGCGGCGUGCUUAACACAUGCAAGUCGAACGGAAAGGCCCGCUCGCGGGUACUCGAGUGGCGAACGGGUGAGUAACACGUGGGUGAUCUGCCCUGCACUUCGGGAUAAGCCUGGGAAACUGGGUCUACUACCGGAUAGGACCGCAUCGGAGGUGGUGUGGUGGAAAGAUUUAUCGGUGCAGGAUGAGCUGGCGGCCUAUCAGCUGGUUGGUGGGGUAAUGGCCUACCAAGGGGUCGACGGGUAGCCGGCCUGAGAGGGUGGACGGCCACAUUGGGACUGAGAUACGGCCCAGACUCCUACGGGAGGCAGCAGUGGGGAAUCUUGCACAAUGGGCGGAAGCCUGAUGCAGCGACGCCGCGUGGGGGAUGACGGCCUUCGGGUUGUAAACUCCUUUCGCCAGGGACGAAGCCGUGAGGUGACGGUACCUGGAUAAGAAGCACCGGCUAACUACGUGCCAGCAGCCGCCGUAA
rnacentral:rRNA from 1 species